rnacentral:rRNA from 1 species
GAGUUUGAUCAUGGCUCAGGAUGAACGCUGGCGGCGUGCUUAACACAUGCAAGUCGAACGAACCUUCGGGUUAGUGGCGGACGGGUGAGUAACGCGUGAGAAUCUGCCCUCAGGAGGGGGAUAACGGUUGGAAACGACCGCUAAUACCCCAUAUGCCGCGAGGUGAAAUGAAUUUCGCCUGAGGAUGAGCUCGCGUCUGAUUAGCUAGUUGGUGGGGUAAAGGCUUACCAAGGCAUCGAUCAGUAGCUGGUCUGAGAGGAUGAUCAGCCACACUGGGACUGAGACACGGCCCAGACUCCUACGGGAGGCAGCAGUGGGGAAUUUUCCGCAAUGGGCGAAAGCCUGACGGAGCAACGCCGCGUGAGGGAUGAAGGCCUCUGGGCUGUAAACCUCUUUUAUCAAGGAAGAAGAUCUGACGGUACUUGAUGAAUAAGCCACGGCUAAUUCCGUGCCAGCAGCCGCGGUAAUACGGGAGUGGCAAGCGUUAUCCGGAAUUAUUGGGCGUAAAGCGUCCGCAGGCGGCCCUUCAAGUCUGCUGUUAAAAAGUGGAGCUUAACUCCAUCAUGGCAGUGGAAACUGUUGGGCUUGAGUGUGGUAGGGGCAGAGGGAAUUCCCGGUGUAGCGGUGAAAUGCGUAGAUAUCGGGAAGAACACCAGUGGCGAAGGCGCUCUGCUGGGCCAUCACUGACGCUCAUGGACGAAAGCCAGGGGAGCGAAAGGGAUUAGAUACCCCUGUAGUCCUGGCCGUAAACGAUGAACACUAGGUGUCGGGGGAAUCGACCCCCUCGGUGUCGUAGCCAACGCGUUAAGUGUUCCGCCUGGGGAGUACGCACGCAAGUGUGAAACUCAAAGGAAUUGACGGGGGCCCGCACAAGCGGUGGAGUAUGUGGUUUAAUUCGAUGCAACGCGAAGAACCUUACCAGGGUUUGACAUCCUGCGAAUCUCUUGGAAACGAGAGAGUGCCUUCGGGAACGCAGUGACAGGUGGUGCAUGGCUGUCGUCAGCUCGUGUCGUGAGAUGUUGGGUUAAGUCCCGCAACGAGCGCAACCCACGUCUUUAGUUGCCAGCAUUUAGUUGGGCACUCUAGAGAGACCGCCGGUGAUAAACCGGAGGAAGGUGUGGAUGACGUCAAGUCAUCGUGCCCCUUACAUCCUGGGCUACACACGUACUACAAUGCUACGGACAAAGGGCAGCAAGUUCGCGAGGACAAGCAAAUCCCAUAAACCGUGGCUCAGUUCAGAUCGUAGGCUGCAACUCGCCUACGUGAAGGAGGAAUCGCUAGUAAUCGCAGGUCAGCAUACUGCGGUGAAUACGU